CGCAAACCUAGAGGGCGGAAGUGCGUGACCUCACCCGCCUGCGCACUUCCUCCUUCCGGCCCUGGCCUCAGUCGGCCUUGGUUGUGCAGUUGGCAAAGGGAAGGGGCUGAGCCAGGGGAGUGUAACGCUUUUUUUGGUUUAGUUGCUGCUCAUAACAGCUGUGCGGCGUGGGGAAGAACUGUGCGGAAAGGCAAAUUACGGUAAAAGUAGGUCCCAACUCUACCACAUGGCCAGCUAAUUUAUCUCGCCUUCUGAACCUGUUAGCUCGGCUCAGAAAUGGAGGCCAUCAUAUGUCUUAGAAUAAUACCAGCUUCUUGGAUUGCUAUGAAGAGUAAGUGAGAUCGUUUAUGAACACACUUUGUAAACGCAAGUAAACCAUUUAAGUGUGACCAGGUGCCAGAGGUGAGAGCAUUCACCAGAGACAGAGUGGGGAGCAGAAGAGGCAGAUGGACUGAAAAACAUUGCUGAGAGGAUCAGCAGAACCAUGUUGUCCUUGUCAGCAGGACAUUGCACAGGCCAUUCCUUCUGCCUGGAGCCCUCUUCAGUCUCCCAUCCCCCAUCAACCUCAGCACGUACUCAUACACACUUUUCUCUGGGCAACUUCUACUCAUCCUCUGUGUUCCAGCUUUUGGGUCCCUUUCUCCUUAGUCAGCAUUAAAUGUUCCUAUUACAUGUUCUUAUAACGUUCAAUGCAUCUGUUAUGGUAGACACUCUAUCGUAGUAGUAUUCUGUGUUCCCCAGAAAGAGACAUUGGAAAGAAAAACGUCAAAUUCAGGCCAAUGACUUUCCUGUUUUGUUACUUUCUCCGGGUAUUGCUGGUGAAGAGAAGAAUAUGAAUGCUGCUUUCACUCACAUGCUGUGACAGGCACAAACAGGAGCAUUGUGACUCAUGGCUUGUGCAGGACUGCUUAUGGCCAAGUGUAACAGGCCUGUGUACGGGAUUUCAGGUCCUACUAGUGAGAAAAUUCAUAUGACAUGCUUCUCUCACCCCACCCCCAGCUGU